CGCCUCAUCCACACAGCGAUCAGACUAAUAGACAGCUCCUGUUAUGGCUGCAACAGUUUCUCUCUCCUCCACCUUUGACACCCUCCCCCACCACCACCACCACCAUAUCGCUCAUUUCAAACCCCGCCAUGCACCAUAUUUCAAUACCUUACCACCAAAGCCCAAACACCCUCUUCCCCUUCAACACAAAUCCGGCUGUUACCGCCUCGUACUACCUUUAUUUUCCUCCUCCGAUUCCCCUUCUUCAACCUCUUCAUUUUUCCAAGACCCACUAAGAACAGGUCGGUUUCUGAGCAAUGAAGAACUUGAGAAGCUCCGAAUUCUCGAAAAUUUCAGGUAUUCGCAUGAGUUCGAAUUUGGGUCUAUGUGGGUCCGGGUGAUGAGAGCAGAGGAGAUUGAUAUUACGGCUAAUUUGCUUGCCGAAUCGUUUGCCGUGUCCUUGUUAUUGCCUAUUGCGUAUGUGAAGCUGUUGGCGUACCUGGUGAAGCAGUAUUUGAUUGAGAAAAGAGCUUUAAUGCCGCAUACAGCAACGCUGGUUGGGUUUUACAAAGGUGUGGACGGUGGGGAAGAAGAAGAACAAUUGGCUGGGACUGUGGAGGUUUCUUUCAACAAGCGAGGAGCUAAUGCCUCUCCUCCCACACCCACUCCUCCCAAGAAUUCGCCUUAUAUUUGUAAUAUGACAGUCAGGGAGCCGCUUCGAAGGAGGGGCAUUGGUUGGAAUCUUUUAAAAGCAAGUGAGGAGCUGAUUUCUCAGAUGAGUUUGAUGAGAGACAUAUACUUGCACUGCAGAAUGAUUGAUGUAGCUCCCUUCAACAUGUAUACAAAAGCAGGUUACAAGAUUGUUAAGACAGACAGCAUCUUGAUCCUGUUGGCAUUGCAGAGGCGUAAGCACUUGAUGUGCAAGAAACUUCCAGUCCUAGACAACCCUUCAGAAACCUAUUUGUCUGGCCCUGAUGAGGCACUUCAUGAGUAGACAUGUGGAAACUGCUAUAUGUUCCUACUCUGCCACAUAAACUCAUAGUUUCUCGAGUAACCCACUCUUUUCCCUUUCUUUCCUCUCUCUAAACAUGUGGAGGAAUUACUGUUCUUUUUCCACUGCUUCUUUCUUUUUGAUAAGAUAUUCGGAUUUCUCUUUUCCUAACAUCUCCCUUGUAAGAUGUGUAUUUGAUUGCUAUCUCGGAUUCUCCUGGUACCAACAUUGUUCAUCCAGCUAGGUUGAUUUUUGGCUGUGUUCAAAUCUGAUGGUCCAUGCUCCAUUGCCUAUGUUUCAUCAUGUCUUUGGUAGAGAUCCAUUUUCUUGUGGUUGAGUUCCACUAGACAUGUCCAUCUUGCUCCAGCGUUGCCUAGUCAUACUAUUGUACAGAGAAACCACUUCUAAGUUCAUCAUUUGGCCUAACUUAUUCAUCUGUUUUUCUUAGUGAGCAGAGUCUGAAAUAAAACUUCUAUUCAAUGGUUGCAAAGAUAUGCUUGAUUACCUUAUCCCUUAUCCUAUCCUAUGCUCUCAAUCUGUGAAGCUAGUCCUUUGAGUUUUUGUAUUUAUCAUUUGAGUUGUUGCAUUGCUUGUCUUGCCAAGAUCAUGAAUGGAAUUGGGAGUGCCUUCAAAAACCAAGGGUCUAGAGAGAAGAAUAUUUCCAUUGGUAGCGGUGACCAGAAGUUCCAAUGCAAGGAGUACGCAUAAAUCCUAUAACAAACCCAGAAAUUGAUUAGCCUCUUCAUCCACCAUGCCCUAAUUUUAGGGGGUGAUGUCUUUUUCAAUUUCCCAGAUGAGUUAAAUAUGAAGUGUCGCCUCACAUCUGAGAUCAACUGAUAAGACAAGAAGUUGAUCAUACAAGCUGGACUAUCCCCUUUAUGAUUUUAUUUUAGGGGUCAAAAAUUGAAAACAGAAAAUAUCAUGGGAAAUUUGGAAUUGAAAUGCUGCUAAUUUUAUCAUAUUGAU